AGCGAACGCUGGCGGCAGGCUUAACACAUGCAAGUCGAGCGGGCAUCCUUGUGGUGUCAGCGGCAGACGGGUGAGUAACGCGUGGGAACGUGCCCUUCGGUUCGGAAUAACUCAGGGAAACUUGAGCUAAUGCCGGAUACGUGCGAGAGCAGAAAGGUUUAUCUGCCGAAGGAUCGGCCCGCGUCUGAUUAGCUAGUUGGUGAGGUUAUGGCUCACCAAGGCGACGAUCAGUAGCUGGUCUGAGAGGAUGAUCAGCCACACUGGGACUGAGACACGGCCCAGACUCCUACGGGAGGCAGCAGUGGGGAAUAUUGGACAAUGGGGGCAACCCUGAUCCAGCCAUGCCGCGUGAGUGAUGACGGCCUUAGGGUUGUAAAGCUCUUUUCUUCGGGACGAUAAUGACGGUACCGGAGGAAUAAGCCCCGGCUAACUUCGUG
rnacentral:rRNA from 1 species